CUAUUGAAGAACGUGCGUUUUGAUCGUUAAUUAGUCACAAUGAAAGUUAUGCCGAAACAAUGCACAAUCUUGAAUCUUCGAAGGUCCAUGAAUCGAAAUGUGACGCGUUAUGAGUCAACAGUCCGUCGACUAAUGAAUAAAUUUGUGGAAACUGGCUCAGUGCAAGAUUUUAAAAUUCUUCGUGUUAUUGGUGAACCGAACCGGACCAGGAUAUAUGUCAAUGAAAUCCUAAAGAUCUGUUGUUCAAGAUAAAAAUAAGUUUGGUGGAGAAGACACAAUUUAUGUGUGUGUGCGUGUAUGAGUAUGACAGUACUGGUAUUGGUCUGAAGGGCUUCAGGCCCGUUUCACAAAGCGUGCACAUGUAUGCGUGCUAUUGAAAAUGCGACACUCUUUUGUAUUCACACAUGUACGCGUACCAUACGUCCAUACAUGAAACGCAUAUUAAAGUAACUAGGUGAUAGAAAUAUUGUAAUUUGAGGUUUUACUUCAGUAUGGAUAACACCUAUAACUUACAAUAAUUUAACUAUGAAUAUUCAAAGAGAAAAACGGCUUAUACUUUUUACAAGAUGUCUAUCAGACGUUUUGACGAACUAUUAUACAAACUGAAACCAAAAUUAGAACGUUCAAAUUGUAUCAGAAUCAGAGUACCAAUAACUUCAGCAGAAUGAUUGUGUAUAAC